GACAGAGGCCCCAAGCGUUAGGCGGAAUCACUGGGCUUAAAGCGUGUGUAGGCGGAUCGUUAAGUGUCCUGUGAAAUCCCACGGCUCACCCGUGGAACUGCUGGGCAUACUGGCGAUCUUGGGCCAACUAGGGGCAGUCGGAACAAGCGGUGGAGCGGUGAAAUGCGUAGAUAUCGCUUGGAACGCCGAAGGUGAAAACAGACUGCUGGGGUUGCGCCGACGCUGAGACACGAAAGCCAGGGGAGCAAACGGG
rnacentral:rRNA from 1 species